AUGAAGGCCUUCGGGUUGUAAAGCUCUGUGGGGAGAGACGAAAGAAUCGGUUCUAACAGGACCGAAGUUGACGGUAUCUCCUUAGCAAGCACCGGCUAACUCUGUGCCAGCAGCCGCGGUAAGACAGAGGGUGCAAACGUUGCUCGGAAUCACUGGGCGUAAAGGGCGUGUAGGCGGGAAGGUAAGUCGGGCGUGAAAUCCCUGGGCUCAACCCAGGAACUGCACUCGAAACUACUUUUCUUGAGUGCCGGAGAGGAAAGCGGAAUUCCUGGUGUAGAGGUGAAAUUCGUAGAUAUCAGGAGGAACACCAGUGGCGAAGGCGGCUUUCUGGACGGUAACUGACGCUGAGACGCGAAAGCGUGGGGAGCAAACAGGAUUAGAUACCCUGGUAGUCCACGCCGUAAACGAUGAGCGCUAGGUGUCGUGGGUAUUGACCCCCGCGGUGCCGAAGCUAACGCAUUAAGCGCUCCGCCUGGGAAGUACGGUCGCAAGACUA
rnacentral:rRNA from 1 species